rnacentral:lncRNA from 1 species
GGUUAUUAUCUUUGGAUAUUAUAUAUAUAUAAAUAUAUUAUAUACAUGUUGGACUUGGAUAAGACUUAGGAGAAUAAGUGAGAUUAUGAUCGUCAUAUAUUUAAAACUAGGGGUGGAACUAGGCCGGCUUAGGUCGGUAAUACUAUGCCCAAGCCCGGCCCAAAAGAAAAUGUUGGGCUUCGAGUCGGGCUUUUUCCCAUUUGUUUGAAAAUAAGGCCCGGCUCAAGCCAAAGCCCAAGGCCAAACCAUCGCUUUGUGGAAGCCCAUUUUAUACAUUUAUAUAUAAUACAUAAAUAUUUUAUUUGUAUAAUAAUAUGUACCAUAUAUUACUCAUAUGAUAUAUAUAUUAAUUAAUUAUAAUAAUAAUAUACUAUUUAAUAUAUCCUAAUAUGAACUAAAUAUUUUGUUAAUAUAUAAUAUAUCCUCAUAAUAUAUAUUAGUAUAUUCAUUAAAAACACAUUAUUACUUAUAUGAUAUAUUAUAUAAUUUAUUCUUUUUAAAUAAAUAUAUAUAUAUAUAUUAUUAAAUAUUUUAUUUUAAUAAUUAAUAUAUGGGCUUUUGGGUCGGGCUCGGGCCGGGCUUGGACAUGCCAAAUAAGCCCAAAAUUUUUCGGGCUAAAUUUGAAGCCCGGCCUGAACCCAAAGUUAAAUUUUUAAUACCCAAAGCCCGCCGAACAUGCGCCAUCGAGCCGAGCCUUGUUUAGGCCCGCGCGCCAGUUCCACCCUAAUUAUAAACUACCUAUUUAGCCCUAAGGCGUUGUAUAUUUUAUACGUGGCAGUACCUAAUUAGUGAGUAGUCUGCAGAUAGUAUUAGCUUAUCCAGUUACGCAUCGUCCGGGAUGCCGGUAAUUUUACAAUAGUCGUUCAGGCGUUCGACUGUUGGUGCGUCGGGUUGUACGUUGGGACCCGGUAUCGCAUUUUUCGGCGUUCGGAUUGUGCGACGGAUUGUUACCUGUGGUGUGUAUAGACCAGUUUGAGUCGUGACUGGACUUUGGCUUUGAGAAGCUUGAUUCGAGCUCCGACAGAAUACGGCUGCCAUACUGUUGGUGCUCCACGAAGUUGCCACUCCGGAGCGGAGCUUUUGCUUUCGCUUGCAUGUUCGUCAUGCCGCGUUGGACUGCUCUCCACGGAACCAGUAGUGUGGAUGGAGCUGGAAUAGUCGCACUGGGCAGGGACGGUAUGUAUUGCACGAGUCCAGACGGGUAGGCUUACAGUCCCGAUUGGAGUUGGGUCAGAUUUGUUUUCCUACAGUUCGUUAGUGAAGAGCAUGGAAUUCAGUAUAGAUUGAUAUGCCGUAGAGUUACUUCCUGCUUCCGACUAGUUCUUUGCUCCGUCUGUCUAAGACUUAGUGGCGUGCGACCGGACUUGUUUUUUGGGCCGGACCCACUGAGGACACUUGUUUUUACAGUAUAUCAUCACGCCCAGGUAGUCUCUGAUUUUUGCAGAGCCACAGGUUUCGACUGCCCUGACCUUACCGCGGUCGUAGGAUCGAGGCAAAGGCGUCGCAAUGUUAGAGCCCUACCGCACGAGCAGAGCUGAGCCCCCUACGUAGCAUAGAUGUUCUGUUGUUCGAGUUUAUGUUACAUAGCUACUUAACUCGCAGUGCGAGUACUCAUUGUAUUUUGGAUUUGGUCUAUGUAUAUUUAAAACUCAGUUGGUUUAGCUUGUUUAUUCGAGCAGCUCUAUGUACUGUUUGUAGGUAUCUGUAUACCUACAGUACAGCUGUCCUUCGUAUACAGAGGGAAAUUCUGUUGCUAUACGGCGGAUUUGUCGACGUGCCCGGGAACGAGACUAUCCGGGCGUGACAGAUUAAGUGGUUCAGAGCUUAGCUGUGUCGGUGGGACACUGAAAACCUAAAGUUUGGCAAAUCUUAGGAAGGCAAGAUCGAGAGGCGUAAUUUAUUGCGCAAAUCACAUGGAUUAAUUGUUCUAACCUCCUCCAAGAGUGGGCUCGUGAGUGAUUUGAAGAGACGUGUUUUGCCUGAGACAAUUAUGUGGCCUGAGACGACAUAAUUUUGGAGAGAAACAGGGAACCCCUUCAGACUUUCAUUGAAUGGUCGAGAGUGUUGUUGUAUCUAGACCCCGAUUUGUUCCUUUCAGCUAAUGUAAUCGUCCCAAAGGUCGACCGUCGUUGCAGAGACGUGCUAGUUAGCACGGGAUCGUGCAGGACCUCCGAGGAGACCUGAGCAGAUGAGCAGAGAGUACUCGCAGAGCAGGAACCUGACAGACCGGAGGCGCAGUGCACCCCCUUGUGGAGCGAUGUGCGGCGGACUGAGGCUAGCGCACCCCCUGAUCUGAGUGCACAGUUAGCUGCCCUGACGUGAGGUGACGACGGAGUAGGGGAGAGUUGUUGCAGAGGUUGUGUUGAGAGGUUAACUCAGUCACGAGAUCAGCAUCGAGAGUACACAAGAGCAGAUGAUUCGGCCACUGCACUUCAAGGUCGCAGUACCAGCGCGCUUGCCCCACCGUGGAGCUUCUACCAGCCCAUUGGGCUGCUAGGGGCCCGCUACAAGUUGACAGAGGGCGAAUGCAGGAGAGCUGUGGCGGACGAUGGUUGCGUUCGUUGUUCGUCGCUUUGAAUCCACCGCCAUUUACGAUGGCAGCAUGCACUGAGGCCUGGGUUGUUCAGGAUUAGGUCAGAUGCGAUCAGAGAAGCUCGUAUUUGAGUCUGAUCAUUCGGAGGGAAAGCAGGCAUCUCUGGGAGUACACUGUUUGCAGGUGAUGUCAUGACUGGUGCGGACGAGCCGAGCGCGAGAGCAGGUAGCUGUGGGGCGCAGGCUGAGGUGGAUGAGUGUUGUGAAUGCUGUGUGGGAUGUUCUUUCCAAACAGGUGAUGAAACAGAGCUCAAGGAGGAAUUUGAGGAGCUAUCAGCAGGAGAUCGCCAGUGCAGGAGUACUUCCGAGAGUUUACUCGACUCCUGAACUGAUGGUACCUAUUUGCGGCAGAGACGAAGCGCACAGGAGGUGCUAUGUUCGAGCACGGGCUGAGACCGGAUAGCUUAUAGGUUGACUCGGACGCAGAGGUCGAGCAACUCUGGAGUGUGUCUAGUAGAGCAGCCUUGUGGGUGGAGCGAAGGUGAGACAUCGCUAUAGGAAGAGGAUCAGGCCGUAGGGUAGAGUCAGAUAGGGAAGCGCCCAUUUCAGAUGACGGCGACAGUCGAGCAGCAACGUUCGCGCGAGAGCGCCGUCCACGAUCAUUUCAGGUCGGGUUUCGGAUGGCUCGCGUCCGCGUUAGGGCAUCCCGUCAGCAGGGGGCAGAUCAGGGGACGCCACAGUGUGGUGGAUCUGGCGGGCGACCACACUGGCCCCAGCAGUACGAGUUAGAGAGAGGGCAGAUGCUACGGAUGUGGUCAGCCGGGACAUAUGAGGGCCAGCUUUUUUUCGCCGAGUCAGCUAUCUCCAUCACACCAUCACUCAGCUUCAGCCCCAUCAGCACUCAGCAUCUUACGACGCGCACGAGUUUACCGCACAGGGGACAGAUCGUCUGGCCGCCGUCAGGUGACGCGGACGACAGCAGGCUCGAAAUGGCAGGAGUCUCGCUAGCUCAGGCGAUUGAGGAUUCUCAGCAGCACCGACGUGGUGCACGCUUCAUUUUGAUUUCUGGCAUGUAGAGUUCGCACUCUUUUUGAUACCGGUGGCAUCGCGUUCCUUUGUUAAGCGAGAUUUGCACAGUUGCAUGCGGUCUAUAGUUAGGAGCGUGUAUCUCAGCACGAGAAGGGUGCAGAUCCGGCCAUGUCUUACAGGUUACAGAGUGUUGUUGUGUCCUUCGCAUCCGGUGCCGUUAACUUUGGAUCAUGCCCGCAGACAUUGUUGUGUAUAGUGGUGUGGCAGCAUGCAGGACUUCGACGCUCAUGCUCGGUAUAUGGAUUGGCAUGGCGCGGCACGUACAUGUCGUCACUUGGAGCGAUUGGUGACUUCCGCGAGCCAGGCCGGCGGGGGUUCACUUUCAGAGGCUGCAGGAGUACGUUGUUUGGCCACCUGAAUAUCUCGCUAGGGCUACGACAGAUGCCUGAGUAGUGGUGUAUCGUCUUUCUAGCGACUGUGUGAGUACUACGCGUGCUUGUAUGGGGACGGUUUUAUCCUCUUUUAGUCUGCAAGUUUCGGAUUGUGUUUCCCCUGAGUUGACGACGUGCCGCCGGAGAAGAGAUGAGUUGUGAUUGAUGUAGCUUCCUGGAACUGCACAAUCUCAAAAGGUAACCUUACCGGAUGGCGCCGCAGAGCUGAGAGAGCCUAAAGGCAUCAGGCUUCAGGAUUAUGAUGUAAGUGGCUUGAGACCCAGCUGUGUCCCUUGGGGAGCGCCGUCGGGUUAUUUGUAAAGAAGAUAGGCAUUUCAGAUUGGCCUAGACCGACGUAACGGUUACUGAGGUUCGCGAACUCUUGGGAACUGGCCAGGAUAUUACCGUCGGUUUGUGGAAGCUUUGCAGAAACUUUCCACAUCCCUACACGCUUGACGCGGUAGGAUUGUUUGUCUGGGACGUACGUUCAGGAGCUUUGACGAGUUAGAGACUGAGGUUGAGUCGGGCUCCUAUCCUUGCUCCGGUGCAGUAGGGGAUGGAUCGUGAUCUACAGUGAUGCAUACGCAACAGUGACUUAGUUGCGUGAUGAUGCAGCAUCGGUAGGGUGUUGCUUUAGGCUUCACGGCAAUUAAAGUAUGAGAGAGAUUACGACGCAUGACUAUGCGAGCUUGCCGCGGGCGUUUUUGCUCGAAGUCCUGCAGGCCAUACUGUAGUGGCGAGCAUGCGAGGUCUUCUGCACGAUCAUAAAGUCUCAAGUAUCUGUUCACACAGAGAGAGCUGAACCUGAGGCAGCGCCGGUGUUGGAGUUACUGAAGCAGACGAUGACAUACGUAGUUCAGUAUCCAUCCAGCAAGCGUGGAAUGUGUGUGCAUUUAUCGUGUUGAUGCAGGAAGUCAGCUGACAGAGCCUGAGUUGAGGAUGCACUGAGCAGAGACCUGUACUCAGGAGCUUGGAAGCGCUGGGACUCGAAGAUAUACCCCCCUGGGUCUGCUGGAGGCUGACGUCUCAGUUUUACAGCCCACUCUGUUGGAUAGGAUCCUGAGAGAAAACAGAGUGUGAGAUCACUGUACUUGAUGAGGAUUAGAGAGCAGCUAGGCCAGGGCGUGAGGCCUGAAGUUUUGCUUUUAGACAUUCGGGACGUACUACGUACAGGACCGAUUGGGUGUGCCUGGAUUGAUUUAAGCAGGACAUUCUGAGAGAGGCUCAUGUUUCUCUUAUAUGGUUACCCUGGGAAUCCAAACUCAUUAAGGAGCUCGUUAAGCGCACGGUUCUGAGUUGACCUUGUGAUAUUGAAGAGGGUGCAUUGGCAGAUUUGUGCGUCAGUGUUUGACUUGCAACAAGUGUAAGGUUUCGUAGCAAGUCAGCGUGCCUGCUGGCAAGGCUUCAAGAGUCUGCCAGUGCCACGAGUGAAAGUGGGAGAUAGCAAUCACGAUCGGACUUUCGUCGUUUGGAUUGCUCGAGCCAGGGUGGCUACGACGCGAUUGGGUGGAUACGUGGACAGACUGACCAAAGUCUUUUGCCUCAUUCCUAUCAGUCAGACAUCUGGUCGCAGAGAGAGAUUCGCCCUCAUGUGACUGGAUGAAUUGUUGAGGAUUGCUGAGCGUGCCCACUUCAGAUAGUAUCCGACCGAGACCGGGUUGUCUCGCCACUUUUGUGAGAGUCAUUCAGACAGUUGCGGGCACUCAGCUUGGCAGUGAGUCGUACAGCGUUUCACCCACAGACAGGAUUGGUCAGUCAGAGCGGACCAUUCAGACUUCUAGAUGAGGACAUGCCUAGAGUGCUUAAUUUAGGAGGGUGUGGUAUCUGCAUUGAGACUGCUUAGUUGCGCGACAAACAACAGCUAUCAAGCGGAGCAUUCCAGAUGGCCUCCGUUUCGAGGCGUUGGUAUGGAACACAGAUGCAUCCCCUUUGUUUUGGAGUCGAGUGGGUGAGAGGAUACGCGUUGGUGCCUGAGAUUCUGAUUAUGGCUGAGCGAAAAGGUAAAGGAGGCGCCGACGGGAUUGUCUAGCAGCCCGAGAGGUCAAACGAGGAGCUAUGCUGAGAUACCGCGGAAGGACGAGACUUGGGUUCUCCAGGUGGGAGAUCAUGUUUUAUCUCAAAGUCUGCGCGUCAAAGGUAUUCGGCCAGAUUUGAAGUAGUGGACAAGCUCAGUCCACGUUUAUGUAGGCCCUUUCGAGGUUUUGGAGCGAGUCGCCCAGUUGCUUACAAGGAUUGCUCUACACCGACUAGCCGGCAUUCACGAUGUUUUUCCAAUCUCAGCUUUGAGGAGAGUAUGUUUUCGUGAUCCCUCCACUGUGACUCGACUUCACUGCCACUCAGAUUGGCGAGAUUCUGAGAUACGAGAUGACUGUUGGACAAUCUGCUCGAGAGACGGAAGAAUAGCGCAACCGAUCAUUCCGGGUAUGUGAAGCAGUUGAGGCAAUCACGCAGGGCGGGAGGACUUGGGAGCCUGAGACAGUGAUGAGGGAAGUUACCCAGACUUGUUGAUUCUUCAAGUGAGAUGUGCUAUAGUUUCGAGGACGAAACUUUCUUGUAGUGGGAGGAAUGUAGAUCCUUAUGAAUAUAUAUAUAUAUAUAUAUAUUAUAUAUAUAGUAUAUAUAUAAUAUAUAUCAUAUAUAUAUAUAUAUAAUAUAAGAUAUGAGCUACGGAGUUACUUUCAGUCAUCAAUCAUGGUUCUAUAUAGGCUUUUAUUAAGCCAUUGGGAUCUACUUUUGAUUAUUAAUAGCGCCUUGGAUUAAACACUAUUCACCUACACCACCUACACCAUCACUUCAACCUCACAUCUCUCCAUCCAAGGGCUGAAAACACACAAGAUUCACCCCCAUGAUACUUUACAAGUAUCUACCUCUCUCUAUUACUAUAUAUAUAUAUACAAAUGCCACAGUGCCCCCAUGCAUGUAAUUUCAUGCUUAGCAUUAAUUAGGGGUUGUACAUGCCUCCUUUAAUUAAAUUUUGCUCUCUCUCUGUCUCUGGCCUACGCACGAGGAGCGAGACCUUGGUCGAUGCGUCGUAUGCCGAGUCGCAUCCCAGAGCCGUUUGAGCUGCACGUUGUCGCCGUAACGUCGCAUGAGGCCGGCUUGAGGUGCAUUUUUCAUCCUGUCCUCGACGUUCGCCACCGGCGCGUAUUCACUGUCGAUGUUUGUGUGGGUGUACCUAACGUUCAUUCUAUGAUUUACUUGAAGCACGGUUUGAGCUCGCGUCCUUGAUUUUACUGAUUUCAGCGUCGACGUUAUGUUUCGCUCAUACUCGAUAGGAACGUCGGUAUUUCGAGCGGGAUUGGUUCUGUAUUGUCAGACUGCGCAGAGAAUCACGACGCCCUUAUUGCUGGAUUCUUGGUGAAGGUCUGCGCUAGUGAUGAUCCCUAUUUGUUCUAAUGGUGCGUUUGCUGUCUUUGUUGUUGGGUGGAAUUGAUGCUUCAAUAUGCGUUUCUAUGUUUAGGACCAUAUGGAGCGGUGUUAGUCGCUAGGUUCGGAGCUGCCGAGCUUGACAGCGGACUCGCGUGACCUUCUUUCACCAUCGGGGAUUUGCGAUUAAGGUGGGUUAAUCAUCGGUUUACUCCUAAGUGCCUAUAUAGUCGACAUGUAAUUGUGGAAUUAUCUUGUGUGGCGCAAUUGCUCGGUUUAUUGAUUUAGUAUGGUUAAUAAUCUGAAUUGGAGCUGAGUUAUUAUCUUUGGAUAUAUAUAUAUAUAUAUAUACAUGUUGGACUUGGAAAAGACUUAGGAGAAAACUCGCGAUUAUGAUCGUCAUAUAUUUAAACUACCUGAUUUAGCCCUAGGGACCGUUGUAUUAUUUUAUACUGUAGCAGUAUCCUCAUAGUGGGUAUUCCAGAUAGUUUAGCUUUCAGUUACGCUCGUGCCGGGAUGCCGAGUAUAUUUUUACAGUAGCGUUCAGGCUGUUCCGGACUGUUGGGUGCCGUCGGGGUUGUCGGUGGACCCGUAUCGCAUUUUUGGCGUCGGAUUGUGCCGAGGGCACGUUACCUGUUGGUUGUUAGACCAGUUUGAGUCGGUUACUGGACUUUGGACUUGCUCUCCAUGGACCAGUUAGUGUGGAUGGAGUUGGAUAGUCGCAACUGGGCAGGGACGGGUGUAUUCACAGUCCCAGGGACGGGUAGGCUUACAGUCCCGAUUGGAUUGGGUCAGAUUUGACAUUUCCUACAGUUCGUUAGUGUAGAGCAUGUUAGUAUAGUGAUUGAUAGCGGUAGAGUUUAUUUCCUGCUUUUCCGACUAUUCUUGCUCCCUUCUGUAGACUUAGUGGGUGGACCGAUGUUGUUUUGGGCGGUACCCACUGAGGACUACUUGUUUUUACAGUAGUUCUCACGCUCAGUUGUUACUCCUGUUUUUGCAGAGCCACAGGUUUCGACUGCUGCACUUUCCGCGGAUCAGGAUCGAGGCAAGGGCGUCGCAAGUUAGAGCCCUACCCGACGAGCAGAGCUAGAGGCCCCCUACUGCAGGUAGAUGUUUUGUUUCGAGUUUAUGUACAUAGCCUACUUAACUCGCCAAUGCGAGUAACUCUGUAUUUUGGAUUUAGUCUAUGUAUAUGAAACUCAGUUUGUUUAGCUUUUGUUUAUUCGAGCAGCUCUAUGCUACUGUUUGUAGUAUUGUAUAUCUACAGGUACAGCUGUCGCUUCGUAUACAGGAAAAAUUCUUUUGUAUACGGCGGAUUUGUCGACGUGCCCGGGGAACGAGACAUCCGGGGCGUGACAGAUAAUAUAAAAUAACUAUUUAUCUUCAAAAUCUUUAAAUUAAGUUUAAUUACAGUGGAUCACAAUUAAAUUUUUAAUUUUAAAAUAAAUAUGAAUUAACUUUUGAUGCUUAUAGUUUAAAAAACAUACUUAAAAUUAUUAAUUAAAAUUUGAUAUUCAAAAUUAAAUUUAAUUCAUGAUUUUAAUUUUAAUUUUAUAAAUUUAAAUCUCAAACUUCAAAUUUAAGAUGAGAUAAAAUUUAAAGUUCUAUAAGAUUAAAAUUUAAAUAUAUAUUUUAUAUUAAAUUCAAAUUUGAUAAUUAGUUGCAAUCAAUAAAAAUAUUAAUAUAGCAACUAAGACUUCAUUUGAGAUCGUAGAAAAAUUGUGUUAUUUGCGGUGAGAAAAUACAAUGCAAAAAUACUUUGUUUGUUUCCGUACGUAAUAUUACGUCCGCAUAUCGUAAUUAAUCAGUUGCGAUAUAUUUUCUGCGAUCCUAUCAGAAAAUGCAAAAAUAUAUCUUUAUAUAUUUUUACCUUAAUUUUAUUUUAUCUAAUAAUGUCAGAUAUGCAUGUCAAGAUAUGAUGAUGCUACUUUGCAGUGGCCAAUGAAAGACCUCGUGCAUAGGAUAUGUGCGGACAAGCUUUAUAAAAAGUUAUAGAUAUACUCUCAAAAAAAAAAAAGUUAUUGAUAUAUUUAGCGGUUAAUUAACGCUAAAUUAACAAAGUACCUGCUUGAACCGCAAGAAAGAUAGAGUGGCCUAGGUCAGGUUCAAUUUAUUGAGUAUCACGACGUCAUAUAAGAACGUCACAGAGAACACGUCACACCAGCUCCAAUUUGCUUGCCAGUUUUUAGUUCAAAAAUUAUCAGAUAAUGUGACAUCUAUCUCGUACCAUCGGGUAAUAAUAAAAGUGUCUGUGGAUGGAAUAAAAUAUGGAUAGUUGAUAUACAAUAUUCAAAAAAAAAAAUAUAUAUAUAUAUAUACCAUACCGAUUUAAUUCCAGAUUAGGUCCGAGUCUUAGCAUUUAAAUUACUAAUAUAUCCAUCUAGUUUAUUUGAGCGGGCCUAGGUAAUAACUAUCUAUAUACUACUACUUGCUCGAGACUUGCUAUGAAUCAGGUCUAAUUCGGACACCGGUACCCGUAUGCAUAUAUUUUUUAGGUUAAUAAACUUUAAAUUUCUCACUUUAGUACCAUAUGGUUUAAAGUGUAUCAAUUUAGUGCCAUAUGAUUUUAUUUUUCUCUUUUUGUCAGUUUCUCCGCUAAUUUUUUGCUAAAUCAUAUAUAAAGAACUUCAGAUAUAUCGAGUAUUUACUUUAAUACUCUUUUGUUUUAAUUUUGUCAUUAAUUUAACAAAAAAAUUAGUGAAAGGGAUAACAAAAAGAGAAAUAAAAUUACAGGAGUACGAAAGUGAUACACUUUAAACCAUUGGGUACUAAAGUGAAAAAGGGCGAAACCACAGGAAUGGUAUUUGAAGUUUUUUCUAUUUUUUAUAGAUUUUAUUAAACUGUAGAGGCAACGGCGCACAGCUCAAGAAUUUUAUGAUUUCUUGGGGAGGAGGCAAGCUGCUUGUCGGAUCGGAAACGGAUCAAAUGGUGAGACGAGAUGUGGGAGACAAAGCUGCCUGGGUGGGAAGGAGGGAUCAGGGAGGGUCAGAGGGAUCGGAGAGGCAAAGUGAGCCGCUAGGAUUUGUUUUUUUUUUUUUUUUUUUUUUUUUUUUUUUUUUUUUUUUUAACUUCUUUCUUUAACUCAAGCAAUAAACAGGGAUUCCUAUAUGGAUGAAAAUACAGAGGCUUCUCAUUUAUAAGUCUAUUAAAAUUGAUUCCUCGACUGUAAAUCUUUUUUAUUUACUAUAAGAUAUUUCAUCUGUUUGGAAUCCGAGUCCAAAUUCAGAUUUGAAAACUAUUCCACACCCUACCCAUUAAAAGGUCGAAUUCAGGUUUGAUCCAAAUCAAAUAUGAAUAUAAAGUGUCCGAAUUCAUACCUAAAACUUUAAUGGGUAACUUCUUUUACCCGUAUACUAUUUAUUUUUUUAUGGGGUUCGGUUCAAGUCCGGGUAGAAUCCAGGUUGGGUAUGGAAUAUCAAGUGUUUUGGAUAAUUUUAUCUGGCAAAUUGAGUUAGAUACUAGUAGCAGCUUAACUCAUUAGCACUAAUCAUUUAUUCGAUACAAAAUAUUAGUUCAAAAUGUUUAAGUCCAGCAAAGAUUAUAAUAACUCUUAUUUUUUAUAUUGUUUAUAUAUGUAUAUAUAUAUUCUUUCAAUCACUUUCAAUCAAUGCGAGACAAUUGAAGCAUUGUAAAGGACAAAAAUUUUAUGGGUACCAGCCCCAAAUUACUUAAUUUGGGGCCAGUCCCACAGGUGUACCACGCAGCGCCCAUCAACCACUGCUCUCUCAAUAUGGGGAGAGCAGUGGAAAUUUUUCGGGUGCACCUGGUGCAUCUAUAUUAAGUGCACCAUGAAAUUAACUUUUGGUUUUUAAUUUUUUAAAAUUAUAAUUUUAUGUAAUAAUUUAUUUAUUUUUUUAGGAGUUACCAUGCAGAAGUUAAAAUUUUACACUCUAUUUGGUUUCAAAAAAAAGAAAAUAAUAAUAAAAAUCAAAAAAUAAUUUUAUGGUGCACCUAAUAUUGAUGCACCAAGUGCACCCGGAAUUUUCAGUGCUCUCCUAUAUUAGGAGAGCAGUGGUUGGUGGGCGGAUCUGGACGCUCCCCCAAAUUAAGUAAUUUGGGGCCGGUGCUCAUAGAAUUUUUGCCCCAUUGUAAGGCUCACAUAAAGUAACCCCUAAUUGGAAAGGGACUCCUAAUUCGAAAACGUUGGCUAAUAUCCUACUAGCUCUGUUUCCAGGCAUUUUGCUGCUUUUUCUUUUACUAGGAACAAGCAUUGCGCGUUCCUCUUCAUUCGUAAUAGUACCCAUUUACUUAGUUCAGGAGUUUCUCUACCUACACACACAUAUAUAUAUGUGUGUGUGUCAUUACCUGAGUUCGUACGUGUUCUUGUUGUGAAAUAAAUUUAUAUAUACUAUGCAAAUUAAGAAUCGUAUAUCGAUAUCUUAGUAGCUUCUUGAGAACUCGAUCAUCUCCAUGGAGGGAGUUUGCGCCACCUAUGACGGAAAAAAUAAAAAGCCGAAACGCCGGAAACGGGGUUGCGUCAAGAGAAGCAUCCUGGAGCUGCUCUGCUGCUGUAUUCUGCCGAUCACCAGGUAAUGUUCCUUGCCAAUCUUAUAUGUCUACACGUACCAACUACGUACGUAUCUAGCUUGUACGUAUAAAAAUAACCUUGCAAAUUUUAGGGUCUAUUGAAUGUAGAAUUUUCUUACCAACUUUGAGCUGUAUCAUUAUAUUCUUGGAACGAAAAAAAAAAAAAGAAAAAAGAAAAAAGAAAGAAGAUCGAAGAGCUCUUCAAUGAUGCCUCCUUAAUAAGUUUUCGAUUUUCUGUCAUCUGCCAGUUUUGUUUCCAAAAAUUAUAAAAGUGAGGUGAAGCGUAUAUCUUACACUCUUUUCAAUCGGGCGCUAUUGUUCACUACUUAUUAUGAAAUUUCUUGUGUUAUAAUUCUAUAAAUAUUUUUUUUUGAGAUUUAUUAUUAAAAUUAAAAUAUAUACAUAAAUUUCUAGAUUAAGGUAAAAUGUGCAUGUAGGAUUUGCUCCUCCCCCAACCUGCUUAUUCCCAAACCCUCUCCUUCGUUCUUCUCCUCCGCACGUGUCCUCCCAAAACCCUCUCCUUUCGCUCCUCUCCUCCACUCCAAACCCUAACCUCUGCUCAUCUCCUUCGUCGAUCUCGUUGAGGUAGAUCGAUUAGGGUUUUUGUGAUCUUUUUUCUUUUUUUUUUUUUUGCUUUCCCCCUUAACUCCUUGAUGUUUACGUUAUUCAAGAUCUUUAUGUGCUUCUCUUUGCUAUGAUCGAUCUAGAUUGGUCGAAGGAGGAUAUUUUUUCUCGAAUUUGCAUGAAUUUUGCACGUUAGGGUUUUGUUUUCUUUGCCCUUCUUGAUGUUGUGUAUUCUUUGUUUGAUCUCUUGUGAAAAGCGCAUUUUGGUGAAAUUGAUCCUUUCUAUUCAUUGUUCUGAUCAGUUAAUACAUGCUUGUAUAUCUCCUAAUUUGGAUUAUUAACUUAUAUGAUGUUAUUGCGUUUCUUCUUCGUCCUUUGGUGUUAUUCUCUAUAUCAUCUGCUCAACAUGAAACUGUAGUUUGUGAUCAAUGCUUAAUCUUAUUUGCGAUUACCUGGACUUUGAAUUGGCUUUUGCACGCAAAUUUCAGAUGUUCAUGAGUAAUACAGUGUUUGGUAUUUCCAACUGAUUAGUAAAAUUUAUAUUUGAAUGGUUCCAAACACAACUGAAAAAUAGAAUAUGGAAUUAGCUCUGUAAUUUCAUUGCCAGUAAGGUGUCUUCCACUUUCAACUUCUGUCUACUAAAUAUGUUGGAAAAUGUGAGCAUUACUAGAAUACUAUCGGUACUAAACAGCUCAGUUUACUACCGAUUUGUUUUCGAUAACAGAGCUUCUGACUCGAUGAUUGGUAUCGUUGAAUAUGGUUUAGACCAUUUAAGCUAUCUGGAAAUUAAAUUUUAUGCUUUUUCAAUAUUGUCCUCUUGUCUAUCAAGUGGACAUAAAAUGAAUGGCUGAAAAUGAAUAUCCUUCAAAAAGUAAUGAUACAAUUUUUGUAUUCAAGAUCUAGAGUUUAGAUUUUAUUUUAAAUAAUUUAAAAAAUUUUCUAACAAAAAUUCAGCUGAUUGAAACUCUUCUAUACCGUUAAAUGAGUAAAUGCAAUGUACUAGCCAUUAAAAUUACAAAUUUUGUGACCCUUUGAUCGUUCAUGUAGUGAUGUCGAAAAAGCAUCAAUUUUGCUUUCUAAUUAGUUUAAAUGGUCUAGAUCAUGCUCAACAAUACCGAUCGUCGAUUUAGAAGCUCUAUUAUUGAAAACAAAUCGGUAGUAAACUGAGCCGAUAAAUCUCGGAAAAUGUAUAUAUGAUAUACUUUUGCUUUGAUAUUAUAUUUUGCUCAUGCACUCUUUAGAAUUUUUCAACAUGUUUGUCAUUAGCUUAUCCAAUAUGCCACAGGGGUAAUCAAUCACCUUAGAAGGAAAUCCUACCCCCUCUCUUCUUGUGUAGCCAUAAAGAUUAGGUAAAAAUAUAUGGAACUUAUCUCAACUAUGGGCCAUUUGAAUUUGACUAUCCAAUUUUUUUGUAAUUUUGAUUUUACUGCCAAACCUUUUAAUUUGUUUGAUUUGAGCCAGUCAGUGGCACUUUAAUUCUAAAAUUUAAGCUAAUUAUUUAUUUUAAUUAACUUAUAGUUGUGAUAAUUCACUUAUAUAAUUGUAUAUUAUAUACUAAAUAAGUAUAUAAAAAUAAACGAUGCAUUCAUAUUUUGAAGUUAAAGUGCUGUUGACUGACUUAAAUCAAACAAAUUGAAAAGUUGGGCAGUUAAAUCAAAAUUUUGAAAUAUUGGGUAGUCAGAUCCAAAGGUUUCAUAAUUCAGAUAAGUUCCAUACGAUUUUACCUAAAAAUUGUGCAGGAAGUGUGCUUAAUAAGUUUUCUUCUUUAGCCUUCUGGAUAUAUACUCUAUAUUUUUCUUUCACUAAAACUUCUCCUGUGUACUUUGUUUACGGUUUAAUUGCGCUACUAGUCCCUGAACUUUCAGUUUUGUCUUACUUUGUUUCACUCCAGUCCCUGACAUCUUUACGCUGCUUUUUUUUCAUAUAAAACUUGAUUAGAAGUUUUUGUGCAAUUUAACCAAGAAGCAAACUUGUAGCGUCAUUAGAUAUUGAAUUCUGUAUAUUGGUGGAACACACUUAUCUUUUAGGGCCCGUUUGGUUCGAGUUAUAUAAUAUUACAAAGUAUCUCGACAUAUCCAGUUAUCUUGAAUUUUGGCGUGAGAUUACUACUGAUGCUGCACUAGCGCGAUUGGUUUAAUGCAGUAACGUAAUACUAGAUUACAGUGUUUAUAGCAUUAAUACGUUUGGUUCAGUUUAUAUAAUUUAGUAAUCCUGACAUAAAAGUAUAGUAUUUUCAAAAUUGCCUUGUUGUGGUCAUUUGAAUAUUAUUUUUUUACAAAAUAUAAUUUGCGGUAGUAAAAUAUAAUUUGCAGUAGUAAAUUAAUUUACAAAAAUAUAAUGUGCGAGAGAGAGAGAGAGAGAGAGAGAGAGAGAGAGAGAGAGAGAGAGAGAGAGAGACUGAGGCUUUUCUUAAUACUAUAUAUGGAUAGAGAGAAAGGGAUAGAGAUAGGAUAACUCGAACCCAACGGACCCUUAGCUUAUUUGGGAGAUACAUUGAGGCUUUUCUUAAUACUAUAUGUGGUAGAUGCUUUUAUUUGGACUUGCCAGUUUUUUGUUUUAAUUAGUUAUUAGUUUUCUAUUACCUUAAAUUGUGGAACUUUACCCUUUUUUUUCCUUGUUUGCUGCAGAAACGAAGAACGCGGAGCUAGGCAUUUCAAAUAGAAGAAUAUAUUUUUCUUUUUUCCCUUUUUUUUCCCCCUAAUCUUUUACUUACGAGUCUUUAAUGGGCAUGAAAGAGAUUAUUCUAACUUCUGUUAACCAUUUUAUAGUUGAAUAAUGUUAGUGUGUUGUACUAACUUGUUUUGAUGAUUAGUGCCCCAAUUGUUAUGAUGUGAAAGAUCAAGAAAUUAAUUUCUUUUGUCUUUGCUUCUUCACCUUUUGUAUUGUUAUAGUAGGGUUGUCAACAAGCUGAACAGGAGCGAGAUGGGUCGGCUCGUGUUUGCUCGUUUAUUAAACGAGUGGAACACGAAUUGGUUCGUUAAAAUAUUGAGUUAAAAAAUUUAGUUCGUAUUCGGCUUAUUAAUAAAUGAGAAUAACACAAGUUGGCUCACGAAUAGCAAAUUAGUUUGUCAGCUUCAUUAAACUUGGUAAAAAUUUGAGAGAAUUUUUUGAAAAUUACAAUUUUAAUUUGAUAAUUAAAUUUUAUAAAAUAUUGGUCUUUUUAUAUUUGAGUUGGUCUAAAAUAUAGAAAAAAAUUUGUACUAAUUAUUAUAUAUAUAUAAAUAUUAUUAUAUUAUAUUUAUGAUAUAUAAUAUGUCGCUAUGUGUUUGUAUAAGCACUAAGCUUGAGGUUGUGAUUGAUUUACCUGUUAAUCUCGUUUUGAUUAUUUCAUCCGUUAGAGAAAUAUAUAUUUCACCAAUUACAAGACCCUCAACCUAGGUUGGGUCUACUCAUUCUAAGACACAUCUCUAUCUAAUGGCGAAACAUUACUAAGCACAAUGGUUGGUAUUUUCAUAUAGAGAGUAACCGGGUAACAAUGAUCAAGGUUGAUAUACGGUUGCGUGGGGUGGUUGGUUGAUGUAUAAUCUAUGGGUGAAAAUGAUCAAAGUGAUAGAUUCUACGGUAAAAAUUCCAGACCAAGUGUUGCUUUUACAAGACUAGCGGAAUAAAUAUAUAUAUAUAUAAGCAGGGCUACUGUGCAUUAGGAGACAGACAGCACUUGUGCUUCUAACUUUUAAGCCACAUAGUUUGAUGUUGGAUAUAGAAAUGAGAGGGGAUGGAGAUUUGACGAGAUUGGGUGUUUAAUUUUUUCUUCUCUUGAAUUUCUCUUUAUAUAUAUAUAUAAGCUGUAUAACUAUCUGUAUUUCGGAGGUCGUGAUACCAAGUUGUUUUUAAUGAUGCGCGGCUUACAAAUCGGAUAUUUGACUCCGUUAGGAUUGACUCACUAUGAAAGAUAUUUGAAAUAUUUCUAAUUUCAGUUUUAUUAUCACGAUAGUCUAAACGAAUGGUAAAAAUAAAAUUUUGAUAAAUAAUGAUGAUAAACGACUUGAAUUUAAGAUCAAAAGUACUGAUUUCACUCUAAAUAGUGAAAAGAAUUUUCUAUAAAAAUUUCAUCAGAUUUUGAUUGUUUUACACCGUUAAAUUCACAAACGCAUCACAUCAACCAUUAAAAUUGUCAAUUUUAAGACCUUUCGAUCACUAGCCAAAUGAUGUCGAAAAAUUAUGAAAUUUAGUUUUCAAAUACUUUUAAUAGUAUAGAUCAAAUGUAACGGAGACGAUUUGAAGCAAGCCCUCUACUAUAUAAUAAUAAUAAUAAUAAUAUAUCCCUCUCCGCCCCUCUCUCUCUCUCUCUCUCUCUCUCUCUCUCCCCCUCUUCUCAAGUUUUGCUCACCAUGGCAUUGAGAGGCGCCAUUUUUCUCCGCCCACAACCUCACCCUCCUCCUCUCCCCUCUCCCUCUCCCUACGCCCGUCGCUUCCGCCGCUCCCUCGUCGUCGUCGUCGCUGCCGCCGCCGCGAGUCGUCGGCGGCGCCCGCAAAACGCCGAUGGCGAGUUCUUCGUCGGUGAGCGAGAUUCGGAACCUCAUCUCGUCGAUCUUACUUUCGUCUGGAAAACAAAAUUCGAAAUUUUGUGAAUCGGAGAAAGGAAAAUUGAAAGCGUUUUUGAAACUUUGUGGGCCUUUUAAUGCGUAAAAGUGGUAUUUUUAACUACCAGGACACCCCCCCUAGUCCCACGUCGACUAAGAAAGGAGCUAAUUUAAUUUGUAGCAGUUUUUGACUCAGAUGUUUAGUAUUGUUGCCAAAAAGUUCUAUAAGCCAAUUUAGUUCACGAAAGAGUAAUGUACCACUAACUUAGAAGUUAUAUAGCAGUGCUGUGAUUAAUGUAAUAUGUCUCAUUAUUUUUAUAUCAGCGAUGCAUUGAUAUUUAGUCAGCUAAAUUGGNCAUGAUUUAAACUCAAAUUUUUAAUUUUAAUGUAAAAUCUAUUGAUAGGAAUACUUUCUUUUAAGAGAUUGAUCACAACCAAUAAUUUUUAUUUGAAAUAUAUUUUAACAAAUUAAUCAUUACCAUUCGUGGGAUUUGACAUAUUGAUAUAUAAGAAUACUAUUUUUUAACAGAUUGAUCAUAAUGAGAUAUUUUUUUAACAAACUGAUUAUAACCGUUCGUAGGGAAUAUUCGUUUAUUCCUUUUUGGAUUCCGUCUGUCGUUGUCGGAAUUCCUAUACGCUUUUAUAUAUAGUAUAGACAUAUAUAUAAAAUUGAGCUGUUAUACUUUUAAAAGUAUCAAGUUAUAGUGCUUAUAGUUUUCGGCUCUUGGAUGUGCAAUUAGGAUGUUGGUCGGUCCCUAGAGUUGAGUAAGUGGUUGGUUAAAUCGUACAAUCUAAUGGGUGAAAAUAGUUAACGGGAUAGCUCUAACGGCGGAAAACUUAUAAGCAUCGUGUGCUUGGUGCUUUUAAAAGCACUAUAGCCAGACUCUCUCUUUCUAUAUAUAUAUAUAUAGAGAGAGAGAGAGAGUUCGCCUAGGGUGUUUUCGGAAGUAUAAAGUAGUUCGUGCUUCUAACUUUUUUAGUUCUUAGAUCAACCCGCUUGUCCAUUUUUAGUCCUUGAAUUAAUAUUAUUUUUCUAGGAAAACUACUAAUCUUUAGGAGGACUACUCAACCCUUGGGGGACUACUAUCAUCCCAACUUUAUAAUCCUUGAUCUAAGGGCGAAAGUCAAAAGCACUAAUUCCUAUGUUUCCGAAAGUAUAGUAACUCUACAAUAUAUAUAUAUAUAGUUGGACUGGGCUACUAUUAGUAGCAAAAUUUUAUUGUUGCUACCAGUUUUUUAGCUUUUGGAUCAACUAUUUUCAUCAUUUCUAACAAUUGGAUUAAAUACUAUAACCCAGUGGGGACCACUCAACCCUAGGGGGACUACUCAACUCUAACUGCGUAAUAUCAUCCUAACCCUACAAUUUUUCAUCCAAGGGUUAAAAACUUGAUAGCAAAAAGAGGGUUUUACUAUUAAUAGUAUUCCAGUCUAAUUCUCUCUCUCUCUUCUCCUCUCCCCCCUCUCUCACUCUGUCGUCUCGCUCCGUUCUCCGGUCUCUCUCUAUAUAUAUAUAUAUAUAUAUAUAUAUUAUAGAGUGAGGCUACUAUGCUAUCGGAAGCACGGCGCCUUCUGUGCUCCACUCAUUUUCGAUGUUUGUGACUUUCGAAUCGUCGAUCGGCUCCGUUAAAUUUGACCUAGAGUAUUGAAGUAUCUAGAAAAUAAAUUUUAUGAUUUUACGAUAUCAUUUGCCUAGUGAACGAGAGGGCUUAAAGAUCAACGGCUGAAAUAAAAUCUUAUAAAAUUGUAAUAAUAUGACAUUAAAAUUUUAAAUCAAAGAUAUUGAUCUUGUUUUUAGAUAUUUAAAGAAUUUCUAUCAAAAUUUCACGUGAUUUGGAUUAUUCUACACCGUUAACUUGCAAACGGCUCACUACCACCAUUGCAAUUUUGAUUUUGAGCCCUACGAUCACUAGGCAAAUGAUAUCGAAAAAUAUAAAAUUAUUUUCUAGGUGCUUCAAAUACUCUAGAUCAAGUUUAACGGAGCCGAUCGACGAUUCGAAAGUCGCAACAUCGAAAACGACUGGAAGCACGGAAGGCUCCGUGCUUCCGAUAGCAUAGAGCCUCACUCUAUAUAUAUAUAUAUAUAUAUAUAAUAUUAAUAUAUAUAUAUAUAAAGAGAGAGGAGAGAGAGAGAGAAGAGAGAGAUGCGCCCGGCGCGCGUAUCUGGCUGGUAUACUAUCGGUAGCACGGAGGUCUCCGUGCUACCAAGUUGUUUUCAAUGAUGCGGCUUCCAAAUUAACGAUCAGCUCCGUAGAUCUACACUAUUAAAAAUAUUUGGAAACUAAAUUUUAUAAUUUUUCGACAUCAUUUGGCUAAUGAUCAAAAGAUUUCAAAAUUGACAAUUUUAAUGGUAGAUGUGAUGCAUUUGUGAAUUUAACGGUAUAAAAUAAUUCAAAUCUGAUGAAAUUUUUAUAGAAAUUUUUUUUUAUUAUUUAGAGUAAGAUCAAUAUCUCUGAUCUUAAAUUUAAGUUUUUUAUCAUUAUUUUUAGUUUGCAAAUAUUUUCAAUAGUGUAGAUUAAGUCUAACGGAACCAAUCGUCGAUUUGAAAACUUCAUCAUUGAAAAUAAUUUGGUAGUACGGAGGCUUCCGUGUUACCGAUAGUAUACCAGCCUAGCUCUUGUAUCGCAUCUACCAUUAAUUUUCUCUCUCUCUCUAGAUAUAUAUAGAGAGAAAGUCCAACUGUGGUACUUCCAGUAGAAUAAAGAAGUUGAUACUUCCAAUUUUUUUAACCCUUAGAUUAAUCCCAUUUCUAGCUAAGCUUAUUUUUAACUAAGUUUAUUUCCAAAUGAAAUAAACGAAGCGGGUAGCAUGCUACCUAUCUCUAAAAAAAAAAAAAAAAAAAACCCUUAGAAUAAUCCUUUUCAUCGUUUCUAUUCAUUGAAUUAAUAUCAUUCCGUUAGAAGAACCACCAAACCCUAAGGUAUCGUUUGGUUUGGAAAUAAGGAAAAGGUGGCUAUGAUUAUAUAUCCGCAUUUUACUUUCUCAUUAAUAAUUCAAUAUGAAACAAUCUACAUAUUAAGUAAUAUAAUUUGUUACUUUAACAAAAAGAAACAGUACUCAACAGGCCAACUAAUAAAAAGUGAAAAUGAUCCGGUUCAUCGAUACGAUAAAUAUCAAAAAAGAGUCGAGAAAAAGAAAAAAAAUAAAGCAUGCAAAUGCUAACGUGGUUUAGCCAUUUGCCUAAGUCCGUACGAUCCAAAAUUAAAUUAGAAUUUUCUAGAGAGAUGCCAUGAAUUGUAAUUAUUUUAACUCUAUUAGAAAUAGAUUACAAUUUAAAGUUGGUCUAAACAAAAUGGGUCGGCUUGAUUUAGUGCACAUGUUUAGAGCCGGGUCGGACUGAAUCUUCUAAGCCUCCGGCCCAGCACGGCCCUCCUACCCGAAGGCAUGGGCCGUGCCCGGGACUUGCCCCUUAAUAUUUUUUUGUUAUUUUUAAUUUUUUUAAAAAUAUUAUAAAAUUUAAAGAUAUGAAAAAUUAAGAGUCCGGCCGGAAUGAUUUUAAUAGCAGCAAGUGCUUGAUGCUACUAAAUUUUUCACCGUUAGAUUUAUUUCUUUGACCAUUUCUAUUCAUUAAAUCAUACGAUUAAACUAACCAGACACUCGAUCUCAGGAGAUCGCUACCAUCUUAACUGUACAUUUCUUUAUCCAAGAACCGAAACUUAAUAGCAUCAAUUACUUUGUGCUAUUAAAAGCAUUCCAGCCUAAUUCGAAAGAUUAAAAUAUUUAUAUUUUAAACUGAUAUUUUGAUCAGAAAACUUAAAAUUUAUUAAAAAAAUAUUAUAAGAUAACAAAUAGUAUAAUUUUUUUAAAAAUAAAAAUUUUUAUUUUUGUCACGCCCCGGAUGUCUCGUUCCCCGGGCACGCCGACAAAUCCGCCGUAUACAAAAAAAAUUUUCUGUAUACGAAGCGUCAACAGUACCUAUAGAUAUGCAAUACUACAAACAGUAGCAUAGAGCUGCUAAAUAAACAAAAGCUAAACCAACUGAGCUUCAUGUACAUAGUUCAGAAACCAAAAUACAACGUUACUCGCACUGGCGAGUUAAGUACUAUGUACAUAAGCUCGAAGUAAAACAACUACCUGCUGUGGGGUGCCUCUAGCUCUGUCAGUCGGGUAGGGCUCUAGCUCGCGACGCCCUUGCCUCGAUCCUGAUCCGCGGAAGGCGCAGCAGCCAAAACCUGUGGCUCUGCAAAAACAUAGGUAACAACUGGGCGUGAGAACUACUGUUAAAACAAGUAGUCAUCAGUGGGUACCGCCCAAAACAACAUCGGUCCACCCACUAAGUCUACAGAAGGGAGUAAGAGUAGUCAGAAAAGCAGGAAAUAAACUCUACCGCUAUCGAUCACUACACUAUCAUGCUCUACACUAACCAACUGUAGGAAAUGUCAAAUCUGACCCAAUCCAAUCGGGACUGUAAGCAUACCCGUCCCCGGGACUGUGAAUACACCCGUCCCUGCCCCGUUGCGACUAUCGGGCUCUAUCCACACUAACUGGUCCGUGGAGAGCAAGUCCAACUGGCAUGAGCGACACCAACGCGAAAGCACAAAGCCUGACUCCGGAGUGGCACUCGUGGGCGCUACCCAACCGAGUAUGCAGCGUAUCUCUGUCGAGCUCAAUCAGGCUCCAACUAGCCAAAGUCAAGUGAACAGGGUCAAAACAGGUCUACAAACCAAACCCACGUGCCCUCGGCACAAUCUGUGACCAAAACAAGAAUCUGGGUCCACCGCUAACCCGAACGGCACCCAACGACCCGAAACAGCCUAAACUCUGCUGAAAAAUAAGCUCGGCAUCCCAGCACGAGCGUAAAUGCCUUCUAAACUACCCCAGGUAUCCAUCGCAACGAUACUGCAACGAUACAAUCGAAUCACGGCUCCUAGAGCUAAAUCUGGUAGUUUAAGCAUAUGACGAUUCCAAUCGUGUUUUCUCCUAAGUCAAAUCCCAGUCCAACAUGUACAUUUAAGAUUUACUAGUCAUGUUCUCAAUACUGAUUAUAUCCAGGAUAGCAUCACGAAUAUCAAGCUACAACAUGAUUACCGAAACUAAAAAUCAUACAUGUCGACAAUUACGGUACUUAGGAAUAAACCGAUGUAAACCCACCUCGAAAGCUAUCCCCUGGCAGCGGUACACUCUCACAGCUGUGGCGCCACCUGCUGGGUCGAUCGUAGCCCUUCGAACCCAAGGAUCGCGCUAACUCCAAGCUCUACACCAAACAAUUCACCGUUUCAGUCUAGUUUUCGCAGCAGUGGAGUACAACAAGAAUUCGACCAAGCUAACCUUCACCAAAAUUCACAAGUAAGGGCUUCGUAGAUUUCUCUCGAAGUUCCGAAUCCAACGAACCAAGUCUCGUCGCAAUCCGAUACUCCUACGUCGAGAACGAGCUGAAAUACUAACAGUCGACGGUGGAUUUCAGCAAACAAUAAUUUACCGAGUUGAAGUAGUAAAAACUUGCCCAAAAUCCAGGAAAAUGCUGAAUUACUCACCUCGACAACACCGGGCACCGCUGCGACAGAAAAACGGCGAAAACUUCUGCUCGCCCGGCCUUCUCGCGCUACCGGGCGUCAAACACGAGCUCGAACGACUCCGCGGCGCGAUGUCGACGAUGAAAUCCGAACUCCACCCGAGCUCCACCGUGCACAAGAACCCAGCUAGAGAGAGAGAGGAGAAUAAGAAAAGCUUCCUCUCUCUGCUCUACACCACACUAUAAAGAAGGAGAGAAAGGGGUGAUACAAACGAGGUGGAGAAAUUACCUAAUUACCCUGUCACCUACCCCCUUGUACCGGUACACGGGCUCCUGUACCGGUACAAGAGCCAACCCGAGAGCAGUUGAGCCAUUGCGCGAUGGUUGUACCGGUACAGCCACGCUGGUUGUACCGGUACAGCAAGCAGAGAAUGCUGCUGUUUUGCAGAAUUCUUCGCGAUAAGCUGCCCUCGCAUCGCACGGAGUCCGUUUUACGUCUAUUUGACGCCAACGCGACUCGGACUUGUCCCGACACUCUCCAGAGUUGUCGACAAGCCUCCACAGCCAUACACCAGGGAUUUCACAAUUUUUAUUUUAAAAUUUUGAAUUGGGAGGAGUUCUUAUCUGUUGGACCGAAACAUUUCUGGUCUGUUGAACCAAAACCCACUCUCCUCGCCAGGUUCGUGCUGGCCCGGUUGGCAUGGCCCAAUCGGGUUGUGCUGUGUUAGGCUAGGGGCCGCACCCCUAGUCUGACUCAGCACAACCCGACCCGCAAUCGGUCAGGCCGUAGUAGCCAACAGGCCCAAGGGCAAAGGCGUAGCACGACCUUCACUAAUGGGCCGGACUGGCACAAGUACUGUAGCAUCUGUGCCGUGCUCCACGGCCAGUAAUCAUGCCCAGUCAGGUGGCCUGGCUCUUUUGAAUGAGAGAGUGUUGAGCCGAGCGCGCACGCGCGCGCGCCAGAGAGAGAGAGACGAGUUGAAAUUUUUGGUAUAUAAUUUUUUAAAUUUUCUUUUGGUAUUUUUACACCCGACAAUUUAGAUUUUUUUUUUUUUGUUUUUGUCAUGAAUAAUUAGUAUUAGAGUAAAUUUGAUGUCAGAGCAAAUCACAAAUUCAUAAUAUAUAUAUUUAUUAUUCUUAAUAAUUACUCAUAAUAAUAAUAAUGUAUGCAACACCAUACAUAUAUAACUUCCUAAGUACAGUAAUUCGGAGUUAUCGAUUACAUACGAAGGUCAGGAAAGGCUACCUUUAACAUACCUGCAUACACGACCCUAAAUACUAAAAGCUAUAUAUGUUAUACGUAGGAAAUACACACAUAGUACGUAGCUAAUAGGUAUACAUCACAUCACCCGCAACGUACAUUACUCGGUCGGCGGUUUACACAAGCAGAGGAGCUUCAGGAUGCUCUUCAUGACGCCACCGCAUUUUGGCCCUCCUUUCGGAUUCUCAUUGGCGGCGCAAAACCCCUCCAUGGAGAUCGAUCGCGUAGUAUAUAUAUCUGUAUUUAUUUAUUUUGCGACGACAAUUCACAAGCUAGCCACUGCAAUGCAAUAUAUUGGUAGAGAAUAACUGAACAUAUUUAUAUUUAUCCUAUCAUGAACUAAGGAGGAAGGUGGAAUGUUCGUUUCCAGGAAAAGAAUUGAGCAGUGCAUGGGAAUUGGGUUAGCAUGUAAGUUUAUUUACCAUCCACUUUCCAGUAAAGAUCCACUGCAACAAAUCUUGCUCUCAAAGACACUUUAGACAAUAACUAGUGACGUUUUAAAAUAUCGGUAAGAAUAAUCCUGACGUUUGUAAAAAUGUCGAGCAAAAAAUCGUUAAGUAAACAUGUCGGAAUAAAUAUAUCAACGCUAGCUUUAAUAUAGUAUAGAAAACUUUUUAUCUGUAUAUAAAAAAAAUAUGUUUAUUAGUAACGCAUAAUUAUAAUGUCGGUACAUGCCAAAUGUUGAAGACGCUAAAAUAGAGCGUUAUCAAAAAAAAAUAUCGUCUAAAAUAUAUUUUGUUGUAGUAUGAAUUUGUUUAUGCAUCUCAACAUGCAUAUGCUUCCAAAGUCCAAACAGGACUCCUGUGGUUUUACCUAAGAUUAAUCUAAUUGUGGGUUAACCAAAUGUUGCCAUGCAGGCCAUGUUGGGGUUUUGAUUCUAGGUUAAACUUUGUUGAAUUGAUUAAAUUCAGUUAAUAAAUUUAUUUGUCUAUAUAAAAAUUAACUUAAAUUACGUACGAUAAUCUUAUUCUUAGCUUAAUGGUACAUUAUAUAUAGUUAAUAAUAGAAUGGGACCGUUUAAGCAUAUACCUGCAUCUUGUUUUUACAUAAAAAAUGAGAGAACCAAUCACAAUCCAAAAUAGUAAAAUUUAUUUGUUUUAUAUAUGUUGUUGUCAACGAGUAACUUUUCUAUGAACAUCGAAAAUAUAUCAAGUAUAAUUUAAUACGGCUAAGUUUCAAUUAAAUUGAACUGUUAUUAUCUGUACAUCCAUAUAUAUAUAUAUAUAUAUAUAUAUUUUUAUAUAUAUAUAUAUAUAUAUAUAUAUAUAUAUAUAUAUAUAUAUAUAUAUAUAUAUAUAUAUAUAUAUAUAUAUAACCUAAUCCAAAUUUAAGAUUUGAAAAUCCAAAUACAAGAUAUAUAAAAUUUAAAAUUAUGAAUUACGAAUUUUAAAUUUUAAUCGAGAAUCAAAGAGAAAAAAAAUUUUAGUUCAAAAUAGGAAUCGUAGUUUAUUCUUUCCUUGAUUCUUUUCUGACUAUUGCAUUUUCUUUCAGCCAACUUUUACAGUCUUUUUUCGACUUCUACAACUCUAAAUUCCAGUGUUUCUAUGGUUGAUUCUGCUACUGUUGCAUUAACUGCAUAUACUUUGAUUUGUUUGUUAUUAAAAAUUUUUUAAUAUUUCUCAUGUAUUUACUAUUUUGUUUUUUUUAGCUUUUUUUUUUUUACGAGAUUUUAAAUAUUUUUUCAGUUUAACUAUCCAUCAAAUUUUCUUCUCUUAUAGUUCUAUUUUUUUUUCUCUUUAUCUGUUCUCUAUGUUGGAAAUAUGAUAUAUUAUUUACAUUGUGAUGACUAUUAUAACUUAAAGAGAAUGAAGAAUAAAUUUUAGUACAAAAACUAAAAUUAGAUAUCGAAUAUUAUCUACCGUCACAUUACGCGGCUUGCUACACUAGUAAAAUAUAAUAUGCCAUGUAUUGAAGUGCACGUGUGCACACGGGACGCGUGCAAUAAUUUCGCUUUAUCAAUUGAAUCUUACUUAAUUAAGAGUGCACUUCUCUUCGAAACAGUAAAGUGUGAAGUUUCUAUAUAUUCCUAGUAAUUUUAUACUAUUCCUAGUAAUUUUACAGUUCCCUUCGAAGAACGUACGUGGCUGCAGACAUGGAGAAGUCGGAAAAACGAAAUAACAUUGGACCCCCCCUCCUCACAAAAUUCAAGCUAUUCGAUUAAUUCCCACUUUCCACAAAAUUCAAGCUAUUUGAUUCCCACUUUCCAUUAAUGAUCGGUUACUACAUGACGUUUAGGGCACGUUUGGUUCGCACUAUGAAAGAUUACUAGGAGUAAAAAGAUAUCCGAGAAUCUUAUUUCUAUUCAUUCUAUUACUAAGAAUGUGGCAUUCAUGUGUUUGGUUCGCACGGUCAUAUUAUUUAGUCAUGUUAUUUAAGUUUACAAAAAAUAUACAAUUUAUUUAUUUAUUUCUUUAAUUAAUUUUAGAUAAUGCUACCAAAAAUUUCAACAUCUUUUUAGAAAAAAUAGAAAGAAAAUAUAGGUUAGAGAGAGAGAGCAUAAUUAAAUAAUAGGAAGAAAAAUAGAAUCGACAUUAGAGGGAGUGAGGGAGUUGAAAUUUUAGAAAAAGAGAGGGAGAGAGAGCUUAGUUUAGAGAGAGAAAAAGAGUUGAAUUUUAGAGAGAAAAAGAUAAGUUUAGAGAGAGAUAUGAGGUUAGAGUGUAAAGGAUAAUAAUACUAACUAGCCGGCGGGUAGAGAGAAAAAAAGAGAUUAUACAUAUUAUGAUUACCCAAUUUAUUAAUAUGAGGAUACCCACUCUCCCGCAAGGGAAUGAGAUUAGUACUUUGAGAUGAAUCUUAUUUCCAAGUGAAUCUAAUAUUACCAACUAGAUUACUUAGUGCCUUUAGCCAAACACCGUCAUAUUUUUUUAUUCUCAUUGCAUUAUUAGGAAUCUUAAAAAGAUAGCGCGAACCAAACGCACCCUUAGUUCAUUUCACUUUGUUAUUUUGUGAUUCGUAUCCAAAUAUCAAAAUC